rnacentral:rRNA from 1 species
UACGGAGGGUGCAAGCGUUAUCCGGAUUCACUGGGUUUAAAGGGUGUGUAGGCGGAUAUUUAAGUCAGUGGUGAAAUCUCCAGGCUCAACCCGGAAACUGCCAUUGAUACUAUUUAUCUUGAAUACUGUUGAGGUAGGCGGAAUAUAUCAUGUAGCGGUGAAAUGCAUAGAUAUGAUAUAGAACACCGAUUGCGAAGGCAGCUUACUAAACAGUUAUUGACGCUGAGGCACGAAAGCGUGGGGAUCAAACAGG